UACGUAGGGGGCAAGCGUUGUCCGGAUUUAUUGGGCGUAAAGAGCGUGUAGGCGGCCAGGUAGGUCUGCUGUGAAAACUCGAGGCUUAACCUCGAGCUGUCGGCGGAAACCAUCUGGCUAGAGUCCGGAAGAGGAGAAUGGAAUUCCCGGUGUAGCGGUGAAAUGUGCAGAUAUCGGGAAGAACACCCGUGGCGAAGGCGGUUCUCUGGGACGGUACUGACGCUGGAGACGCGAAAGCGUGGGGAGUGAACAGG
rnacentral:rRNA from 1 species